rnacentral:rRNA from 1 species
GACGAACGCUGGCGGCGUGCCUAAUACAUGCAAGUAGAACGCUGAAGGAGGAGCUUGCUUCUCUGGAUGAGUUGCGAACGGGUGAGUAACGCGUAGGUAACCUGCCUGGUAGCGGGGGAUAACUAUUGGAAACGAUAGCUAAUACCGCAUAAGAGUAGAUGUUGCAUGUCAUUUGCUUAAAAGGUGCAAUUGCAUCACUACCAGAUGGACCUGCGUUGUAUUAGCUAGUUGGUGGGGUAACGGCUUACCAAGGCGACGAUACAUAGCCGACCUGAGAGGGUGAUCGGCCACACUGGGACUGAGACACGGCCCAGACUCCUACGGGAGGCAGCAGUAGGGAAUCUUCGGCAAUGGACGGAAGUCUGACCGAGCAACGCCGCGUGAGUGAAGAAGGUUUUCGGAUCGUAAAGCUCUGUUGUAAGAGAAGAACGAGUGUGAGAGUGGAAAGUUCACACUGUGACGGUAUCUGACCAGAAAGGGACGGCUAACUACGUG